AGCUUUGUGCAGUGGCAGAAUCAUAGCCAAUGAGGUUUAUCUGAGACGCGAUUAUUGCUAAUAGAAAAAAAGAACCAAAACAUAAUACCCAUUAACAAUGUUGCUUAUGUUGCUUCCCAGUGAGGA
rnacentral:snRNA from 1 species